CGGGGAGUAGCUCAGCCUGGUGGAGCGCCAGCUUUGGGAGCUGGAUGUCGCAGGUUCGAAUCCUGUCUCCCCGACCA
rnacentral:tRNA from 1 species